rnacentral:rRNA from 1 species
GGCUACCGCUAUUGGAGUUCGAUUAAGCCAUGCGAGUCGCGAGUCUUAGGGACUCGGCGUACCGCUCAGUAACACGUGGGUAACCUGCCCUAUGCUGGGGGAUAACCUCGGGAAACUGAGAAUAAUACCCCAUAGUUCACCAUGCCUGGAACGGUGGGUGGACCAAAGCUCCGGCGGCAUAGGAUGGGCCUGCGGCGUAUCAGGUUGUAGGGGGUGUAAUGUACCCUCUAGCCCUCUACGCGUACGGGUGUUGAGAGACAUCGCCCGGAGAUGGAUUCUGAGACACGAAUCCAGACCCUACGGGGUGCAGCAGGCGCGAAAACUUGGCAAUGCGAGAAAUCGUGACCAGGGAACUCCAAGUGCAUCGGGUAAGACCGAUGCUUUUCCUGACUCUUCAAAGGUCUUGGAAUAAGGGGUGGGUAAGGACGGUGCCAGCCGCCGCGGUAAUACCGGCGCCCCAAGUGGUAGUCGCUUUUAUUGGGCCUAAAACGUCCGUAGCCGGUUUGGUACAUUCGUGGGUAAAUCAACCAGCUCAACUGGUUGAAUUCUGCGAGCACGGCCAGACUUGGGACCGGGAGAGGUGUGGGGUACUCUCAGGGUAGGGGUAAAAUCCUGUCAUCCUGAGAGGACCACCUGUUGCGAAGGCGCCACACUAGAACGGAUCCGACGGUCAGGGACGAAGCCUAGGGGCACGAACCGGAUUAGAUACCCGGGUAGUCCUAGGUGUAAACGCUGUGGACUUGAUGUUGGGGGCGCUCCGAGCGCACUCAGUGUCGAAGCGAAGGUGAUAAGUCCACUGCCUGGGGAGUACGGUCGCAAGGCUGAAACUUAAAGGAAUUGGCGGGGGAGCACCGCAACCUGAGGAUUGUGCGGUUU